rnacentral:rRNA from 1 species
UUGACGGGGACCCGCACAAGCGGUGGAUGAUGUGGAAUAAUUCGAUGCAACGCGAAAAACCUUACCUACCCUUGACAUGUCUGGAAUGCCGAAGAGAUUUGGCAGUGCUCGCAAGAGAACCGGAACACAGGUGCUGCAUGGCUGUCGUCAGCUCGUGUCGUGAGAUGUUGGGUUAAGUCCCGCAACGAGCGCAACCCUUGUCAUUAGUUGCUACGAAAGGGCACUCUAAUGAGACUGCCGGUGACAAACCGGAGGAAGGUGGGGAUGACGUCAAGUCCUCAUGGCCCUUAUGGGUAGGGCUUCACACGUCAUACAAUGGUCGGGACAGAGGGUCGCCAACCCGCGAGGGGGAGCCAAUCCCAGAAACCCGAUCGUAGUCCGGAUCGCAGUCUGCAACUCGACUGCGUGAAGUCGGAAUCGCUAGUAAUCGCGGAUCAGCAUGUCGCGGUGAAUACGUUCCCGGGUCUUGUACACACCGCCCGUCACACCAUGGGAGUGGGUUUUACCAGAAGUAGUUAGCCUAACCGCAAGGGGGGCGAUUACCACGGUAGGAUUCAUGACU